rnacentral:rRNA from 1 species
CAGUAGCCGCGGUAAUACGAAGGGUGCAAGCGUUACUCGGAAUUACUGGGCGUAAAGCGUGCGUAGGUGGUGGUUUAAGUCCGUUGUGAAAGCCCUGGGCUCAACCUGGGAAUUGCAGUGGAUACUGGGUCACUAGAGUGUGGUAGAGGAUAGUGGAAUUUCCGGUGUAGCAGUGAAAUGCGUAGAGAUCGGAAGGAACAUCUGUGGCGAAGGCGACUAUCUGGGCCAACACUGACACUGAGGCACGAAAGCGUGGGGGGCAAACAGGAUUAGAUACCCCAGUAGUCCCUGUCUCUUAUAC